ensembl:lncRNA
UGGCACCAUCGGCUAAAAAAGGUCAUGUGGCAGGAAGCAUGUCGGUAUGUGACAGUUUCCUGGGCCAUGUAUUGUAACUGCCACGUUAUGCUUCUAUAGUUGCAACCCUAGGAACCGUGGGAAACACCAGCUGCAAGCCUUGGGGACGCUUCAAGAGGAAUUCCCGCCUUGUGUGCACACCAAGCUCGGAACUGGCAGGUUCCGUCCUGACCUCCCUGUUUGGAUAUCGCUUCUCUGUGAAAGCUUGCUGUCAGACCCGCCCCACAGAUGAGCUAUCCGGGCUAUUCUUUUCUUUUUAAAGCAGGAAUACAUGAUUUUCUGUUUGGAGAGACUUCACGACACAUUUUUUUUUUGGUUCUUUUUUUUUUUUUUUGGUUCUUUUUUUCGGAGCUGGGGACCGAACCCAGGGCCUUGCGCUUCCUAGGCAAGCGCUCUACCACUGAGCUAAAUCCCCAGCCCCUACGACACAUUUGAGAAUCCAGUAUCUAAGUCUUUGAUUUCAGGGAAAGAGCGUUGGAAGGAAAGACUUCCACACUGCAGCCCACAGCAAGUCGGUGCGUUUGCAGCACAAACAUCACGCCUGCUAGCUGGAGCUUCUUUGAGGCGUCAGCCUUUGGUGCAAGAUGCACAGGCUAAGCAGAUGUGUGCCCUGUAGCUCGGUAAUAGAAAAGACACAGAGGUCACAGCCCCGAUCUCAGCGAGGGCCCCUUCUUCCAGUCCACUGAUUUUCUAAAAUACAUACUGUAGACUUUUAAUGCAUUCAGGGUUCUUCAUAAUUAAUUUCUACCUCAAACUCUAACAUAUACCCCAUAGGCAUGAUAUCCUGUACCAUAUGUAUUAUUUUGAGACAAUGUGUUAACCCAGGUUGGCUUUGAACUUGGUAUCCUUUUGUGUCUUAGGAUUACAGAAAUCAGCCUCUCUUCUACCCUUCUUCCCUCCCCCUCCCCUGUCUCUCUUUCUCAAUACCUUUUUCUCUGUUUCUGUCUUUUAAUCUCUCUCUAUUUCCCCCCUUUCUCCCUUCCUCUCCUCUCCUGUUCCCCCUUCCCUCUUUUUGUCUGUCUGCCUCUCUCUCUUCUCUUUCUUUUUCUCUCUCUCUCCCUUCUCUCCUGUUUCCCCCUUUCCUCUUUCUGUCUCUCUCUGCCUCUGUCACUCUCUCUGUGUCUCUGUCUCUGUCCAUCUGUCUCUCUCUCUCUCCCUCUCCCCCCCUCUUUCUCUCUCUCCCCUCUUCUCUCCUGUUUUCCCCUUCCCUCUUUCUGUCUGUCUCUCUCUGUCUCUGUCUGUCCUCUCUUUCCCUCUCUCUCUCUCCCCCCACCCUCUCCUCUCCUGUUUCUCCCUUCCCUCUUUCUGUCUGUCUCUGUCUCUCUGUCUCUCUCUGUCUCUCUCUUCUCUCUCUCUCUCUCUCUCUCUCUCUCUCUCUCUCUCUCUCCCUCUCUCCCUUUCCCCCCAUCUCCAGAGUCUCACUAUGUAGCCCUCAACAUCUCCACUGCUGGGACUGAAGCCUGUGAUACCAUACGAGGCAGGAAUAUUCUCCCUCAACUUUAGAAACUAGCUUCAAGUUCACUCAAGUCAGAUAAAAGUUCAGCUGCAAUGUUCUCUUUUUCCGUUUUGUGUAUGUAAAUUCGGUAGCCAUGGGGGUGGCGUGCAGAGAGAUAAAGGAUCAAUGUCUGCUUAUAACUCUUUACUUUUUUUUAUUUAUUUUUGUGGGAGAGGGCACUUCUGCUGCAGCACGUGUUGGGGGUUUGGGGGGUAACUUGCAUGAGUCACUUCUCUCUACCAUGUGGAUUCCAGAAACUGAACUCAGUUCAGUAGGCAAAUGCCUUGACCUAAUGAGCCAUCAUGCUGACCCCUGGGACAAUUUAAUCUAUAAAAUUGGUGUGUGUGUGUGUGUGUGUGUGUGUGUGUGUGUGUGUGUGUUAGUCUGUACUUGGGAUCACAUAUCAGAUAUCCUGCAUAUCUAAUAUUCACGUUACAAUUUAUAACAGUAGCAAAAUUACAGUUAAGAAGUAGC